CUCAGAAGUGCUUUCCGGGAUAACUACCACAGCUCUCCUGCCUGAACUGCAACUCCAGUCUGGUGGGCAACCUGAAAGUUGAUGUCCGAAGAAAUUGUGGACCUCUCUUUCACUGUGGAGACAGUUCUGGGAAAGCCUGGAGGUUGACCACAGCACUGUGUGCAUGUCCAGGAAGAGACAUUAAACUGCCAGAGCAGACUGUGCUGCCUAAAUUCUUUUCUUUAAGAAGACCGUGAGCCAGAUGGCAGCCUUUUGUAGGUGGAAUCCAUCCACAAUUUAGAAUAGCAUAUGCCACCUCCUUCCUUGACCACGCCUCAGCCCUGACCCCUAUAUGCUUCAGUGCAUAAAGUGAGAAACUGGGAGUGCAUUCAGUCUGAGCAGGAUGGAUUCUGCUUGGCUACAGCUUGCCACUCAUCUGAACCUUUGAUUUGUUUUUUUGGAAGUUCUUACUUUUCCUCUACUGCUUCCUUUGAAGACCGUGGAAUAUCAGUGAUCUUAAGUAGUUGUGGAUGAAUUCUCAAGAAAAAAUUAUGAUCUUUUGAAAAGUUGAAUACUGCUUCUGACUUCACAGACAUGCAAAAAUCUAAUUGGCAGUUUUGAUGGCUCAAGGAAGAUAAGACUUUUCCCUAAUUGUGUCUUGAGUUUGACUUCUGGGUAAAGAUGAGCACUGAUUGAAGCCUAUGAAGAAUUCAUAAACUUAUUAAGUAAAGAUCAUUAUAAUCUCAUUUUUUUUGGUUCUUCUUUUUCUAAUUGAACAUCUAAAAUCCUCUAAGUGCUGUAUAAACAGUAGAUAAUCCUGCAAGGAACAUCAAGUGCCAGUACCCUGUGACUUUGUACAGUAACUUUAUGAACCAGGUCUUACACUCAGGACCAGCUGAGGUGUUGCUUCUCCAGUUGAGGUUCCCUGUCUAACUGCUCCACAAAGCGUCAUUUAUGGUACCUAAGGAUUUAGUCUCAGCCUCAUGAUCUGAUAGGAUAUCUGCUCAAACUACAUGGGGAUAAUUGCAAUCUCCCAUUACCAUUGUGUUUCCCUUCCUUCUUUGCUGUCAUUCAGGAUGUCAAUCACCUCUAAGGCUUGUUAUCAUGUCUUUAUGGGCAUGUUUAUCAAGACCUGUGAGAUGGAUUGAUGCCAUGUUACUGGCUGCAGGGCUGAUAUAGCCUAGUCACAGCUUAACAACAGCUGUCAGUAGGUGUUUUCACAGUACUGCUUAUUGUUGUCAGAAAUAUUGCUUUGAGAAGAAAACGACCUGAUAAAGGAGAGGAUAUACAGCAUACAGGAGAGACUUUUCUAGUCAAACAGCCAAGUAGGUGCUAUGCUGCUGUUCAUGUGGUAUUUCAAUUGACUGUGUAAUCUUGAGACGGUUAUUUUAAAAAGCACAUCUGGUGACUCUCCCUCUCGUUUAAUAAUUUCAUAUGACUAAAUACCUGCAUGCAAAUUUGAAUUACACUGUUUGAUAACUAAUCACAUUUUUAAAAAUCCUUAAGGACCUCAUGAGGACACAAUUUCAGUGGUGUUAUCACCACCCUACAGAGACAUGCGUCUCCAUGACUGACAUACAGUUCAUUAACCAAGCUUCAUUUCACAAUGGGAUGGUCAAGUCAGCCCAUUUCAGAAAGGACAUAUUUUAAUUUCUAAAACUGUAUAAUUAGCACAGUCAGUAA